rnacentral:rRNA from 1 species
UACGUAGGGGGGCAAGCGUUGUCCGGAAUUACUGGGCGUAAAGCGUGCGUAGGCGGUUCCUCAAGUCCGUUGUGAAAGCCCCGGGCUCAACCUGGGAAUGGCAGUGGAAACUAGGGGACUGGAAUCUGGCAGAGGGGGGGUGGAAUGCCGCGUGUAGCAGUGAAAUGCGUAGAGAUGCGGCGGAACACCGAUGGCGAAGGCAGCCCCCCUGGGCUGAGAUUGACGCUCAGGCACGAAAGCGUGGGGAGCAAACAGG